UUGUCUGUUCUCUCCUGCACUUUGUUCUGGGUUCAGCAUUUUUAAGAUGGCACCACUGCACUGAAGAGUCCAGGGGCCUUGAAGUUAAAUUCCACAAAAAGUGAGAGAUUGAGGCUUGAUUCCCUUCAAGUGGAAGAUGCUUGUACCGCAGUGUCCUGCUUUAUGGGUCACUCAAGCAGAAGGAGAAGCCUUGGUCUUAUCAUUUUCUACAAACUGCUGUCCUGACCUCAUGAAAUCGGAGAGUCUAUUCACAGCCAGGAAGGACCGUGCUCCCUGACAACUCAAGCACAGCUCAGCAGGAGAACUAGAGCCUGGAUGCAUGAAGGACUGUAAAU
rnacentral:lncRNA from 1 species